rnacentral:rRNA from 1 species
CAGCCGCCGCGGUAAUACGAAGGGGGCUAGCGUUGCUCGGAAUGACUGGGCGUAAAGGGCGCGUAGGCGGUUUAUACAGUCAGAUGUGAAAUUCCCGGGCUCAACCUGGGGACUGCAUUUGAUACGUAUGGACUUGAGUGGAGAAGAGGGUCGUGGAAUUUCCAGUGUAGAGGUGAAAUUCGUAGAUAUUGGAAAGAACACCGGUGGCGAAGGCGGCGACCUGGUCUUUAACUGACGCUGAGGCGCGAAAGCGUGGGGAGUAAACAGGAUUAGAUACCCCCGUAGUCCCUGUCUCUUAUAC